AGUGAACGCUGGCGGUAGGCCUAACACAUGCAAGUCGAACGGCAGCACAGGAGAGCUUGCUCUCUGGGUGGCGAGUGGCGGACGGGUGAGGAAUACAUCGGAACCUACUUUUUCGUGGGGGAUAACGUAGGGAAACUUACGCUAAUACCGCAUACGACCUAAGGGUGAAAGCAGGGGACCUUCGGGCCUUGCGCGAUUGAAUGAGCCGAUGUCGGAUUAGCUAGUUGGCGGGGUAAAGGCCCACCAAGGCGACGAUCCGUAGCUGGUCUGAGAGGAGGAUCAGCCACACUGGAACUGAGACACGGUCCAGACUACUACGGGAGGCAGCAGUGGGGAAUAUUAGACUAUGGGCGCAAGCCUGAUCCAGCCAUACCGCGUGGGUGAAGAAGGGCUUCGGGUUGUAAAGCCCUUUUGUUGGGAAAGAAAUCCAGCUGGCUAAUACCCGGUUGGGAUGACGGUACCCAAAGAAUAAGCACCGGCUAACUUCGUGCCAGCCGCCGCAGUAA
rnacentral:rRNA from 1 species